CUGGAAUGCUACACAAGAAACUAUGUAGUGAGUAGAAAUGCGGUGUUGGGUCUCUUGUGCUUUUGACUUUAUACCCCCUCCUUUUUUAAAAUUUCAGCAUGCACUUAUAAUCACUCUGUAAGUGGCUUUGCAUACAAUACCUUGUAUCAUCAGGACAUGACUUAAGGACUUAAAGGGCAAAAGACUUCCUGAGUGCAUCAUCUGCCUGAAAGGUCAGUCCUCGGUGGACCAGGCUGGGUUGCUGUGGCAGGAGCCACUUAAGUGGGGUUCCAGCCUACAGCCACUCCCGAUGGAAGGGGCCUGCUCUGGGCUGCAGGCUACUCUCCCAGCAACCCAGUCACCCUCUCCUGGAGCCUGCCUUGGCUCCCCAUGGCCUUUACGAUAAGGCCUUCCACAACCUGGCUCCCAUCUCCCUGUCCAAUGUCAUCCACCCACCACGUCUCCCAGGCCUCAUGGAGUGCUGCCAGUAGUGAGCAUACAGCGAGUUCUAGAACCUUACUUUCUUCCUUACCAACCCACAACCACCUCCACAUCCCCAGGCAUCCACUAUGAUCCGUUUGCAGCACACCCUCCAGAAACACUCCACAGACAUGCAGGCACCUGCACCUGCAGAUUAGCGCAUACAUAUUCUGCUAAAAGGAUGCGUUCUUGUUUCAUCUUAGAGUUCAUUUUGGUUUAAGAUUUCAGAAAACCUCUGAAAAUAAGCAAGACCUGGAAUUGGUUACAUGCCCUCUCAAACAACACCGCCAACUGUCAAAACGCACCUCUAUCUACCGAGGCCCUAGCACUUUCUCUCUCACCGGAUGACAGAGGUCUUGAGAUGAAUUGAAAUUCUCAUCUAUGCUCAGACACGCAUCACACCUAGCAAGGAAAUUUACAGUGGGGAAAGGGAGUUGCCAGACCCAGCCCUGUCCACACAACGCCCAUGUGUCUUUUUCAGCUGAUUUUAUGUUCAGAGAAGGCUGGACCGCCUGAGCCUCCUCCCUGCUCACCUGAAACCCUUUCUGUCCUCAGGGAGAUGAACACAAUGGCCUGUACUGUGGGACCUGCAGGCAGCUCUUCAGCUCCCUGCGCAACAAGAAGCAACCUGCUGCAGAGGCAGCACCUGCAGCGCCUCACAGGGGAAUUCAAAAAAGAUUCUGCCGCAUACUCAAAGCACCCAGAGCCUCUGGAAGAAGAGAAAGGACAAGAUUCAAAUGAGGUUGAGUCAGAGGAGGAAGCUGAGGGCCCCGAAUCCCUUCCGCUCAGAAGUCUGCAUCCAGAGAGGAGUUUUGCUUCACUCGACUUGUGUUUCUCGCAAGGGUUUGUCUAUAGAUUGCUGAAAAGUGAGUAAUCAAGUUCAGCAACUCCCUGGCAACUGUGAUGACCUAGGGUUUAUAAUCCUAGUCAGAGUAACCUACAGAGAGGUUAUAAUAUGAGGUGAAACAAAACAGAAAAGUCGCUAGAGGAAUAACGAUAGUAAAAAUUACAAUCAGAUGAAGAAUAAAGUUUUCAAUGAGGUACAGUUCUAAGCACUUCAUACAAAUAACCUGUCUUAAUUCUCAUAAAAGUACUGCGAGGCAGAUACUAGUAUCAUCUCCUUCUAAAGAUAAAAUGCAGCACAGAGAGGUUAAGUAACUUGUCCAAGGUUGAACAGCGAGUGGCCAAUCUGAGAUUUAAAUCCAGGCUGUCUGGGUCCAAGAACUCUGUUCUUCACUACUUCUCAACAAUGUCAACUAUGUAAAAUGACACACACACAUAAACCCACAUCAAUGGUAAUGGUGGUUAUCCCUGGCUGACAAGAUGAAAGAAGAUGUUAUGUAAUUCUUCAGUCCUUUCUGUGUCUGCCACAUUUUCCCCAAUGGAUAGAUGUCAAUUAAACUAUCAGAGGAAGAAACUAACUCUAUUAAAAAUUAUUUCAAGGGCUGGGCAAGGUGGGUUACACCUGUAAUCCUAGCAUUUUGGGAAGCCGAGGUUGACGGAUCACCUGAGGUCAGGAGUUCCAGACCAGCCUGGCCAAUAUGGUGAAACCCCAUCUCUACUAAAGAUACUAAAAUUAGCCAGGCAUGGUGGCAUGCACCUGUAAAAAAAUCUCAAGAAUGAACUGUUUAUACAGGGCUACCAGUCAUCACCUGCAUAAGGAGGUAGGUACUAGUAGCAUCUCCAUCUUCUUUUUUUUUUUUUUUUGAGACAGAGUCUCGCUCUGUCGCCCAGGCUGGAGUGCAGUGGCCAGAUCUCAGCUCACUGCAAGCUCCGCCUCCCGGGUUUACGCCAUUCUCCUGCCUCAGCCUCCCGAGUAGCUGGGACUACAGGCUCCCGCCACCUCGCCCGGCUAGUUUUUUGUAUUUUUUAGUAGAGACGGGGUUUCACCGUGUUAGCCAGGAUGGUCUCGAUCUCCUGACCUCGUGAUCCGCCCGUCUUGGCCUCCCAAAGUGCUGGGAUUACAGGCUUGAGCCACCGCACCCGGCCAUUUUUUUUUUUUUUUUGAGAUGGAGUCUUGCUGUGUCACCCAGACUGGAGUGCAGUGGCACGAUCUCGGCUCACUGCAACCUCUGCCUCCCAGGUUCAAGCGAUUCUCCUGCCUCAGCCUCCUGAGUAGCUGGGAUUACAGGCGUGCCACCACACCUGGCUAAUUUUUGUAUUUUUAGUAGAAAUGGGGUUUCACCAUAUUGGUUAGGCUGGUCUCGAACUCCUGACCUCGUGAUUCACCUGCCUCAGCUUCCCAAAGUGUUGGGAUUACAGGAACAUCUCCUUUUAAAACUGAAGACAUUGUAGCACAGAGAGGUUAAGUAACUUGUCCAAAGUUGCACAGCUAAGGAAGGGGAGGUUUUGGAUUGAGAAGAACAGACAAUGAUGGUCUUCUCUUCCCUUUCCUCUCAGUCAAGGAAUUGGAGCUCAGGGAGCUGAGGAGGACUGUAGAAAGAGCUGGAGCAGAGGAGGAGGCCCUGCAGAGGCAGCUGGUGGAGUUCCAGGUGAUGGCCCCAUGUGCGUGCCGGAGGCUUGGGGCGGGAAGCGCCCACAUGGCUCAGCUGGUGGGGGGGCCCACCUGGAGGUGCUUAGGAAGCAAAGAGUAGAUACCACUUGGUCCACUUAAAAUGGUACUCUACAAACCCUGCUUGCUAGGAUGUGUUUGCUAUGUACCCUUAUAAAAUACACAGUGUUUGGUCCCUUGGUGUUCCUGGUGCGUGGGAAUCUGUGCCAUGAGCCUGCUCGUGUUGCUUGCUUGUUUCACUCAAUACUCUAUUUCAUCCAUGCUGCCACGUGGCCUCUGGCCUCUUCUGUCAGAUCUGCCUUGUGGGCCCAUUCCCUUCCUGGCAGGUCCCAGUUUGCCC
rnacentral:lncRNA from 1 species